UUUUAGUUGGGGACUCAUGAGAGACUGCCGGGGUUAACUCGGAGGAAGGUGGGGAUGACGUCAAAUCAUCAUGCCCCUUAUGUCCAGGGCUUCACACAUGCUACAAUGGUCGGUACAACGCGCAGCGACACUGUGAGGUGGAGCGAAUCGCUGAAAGCCGGUCUUAGUUCGGAUUGGGGUCUGCAACUCGACCCCAUGAAGUCGGAGUCGCUAGUAAUCGUAGAUCAGCAAUGCUGC
rnacentral:rRNA from 1 species